rnacentral:rRNA from 1 species
CUUCGGCUCCCGCUCAAAGAGGAACCUAAGCGAGAUUAGCUAGUUGGUGGGGUAAAGGCCUACCAAGGCGACGAUCUCUAGCUGUUCUGAGAGGAAGAUCAGCCACACUGGGACUGAGACACGGCCCAGACUCCUACGGGAGGCAGCAGUGGGGAAUAUUGCACAAUGGGGGGAACCCUGAUGCAGCCAUGCCGCGUGUGUGAAGAAGGCCUUCGGGUUGUAAAGCACUUUCAGACGUGAGGAAGGGUUGAUGGUUAAUACCCGUCAACAUUGACGUUAGCGUCAGAAGAAGCACCGGCUAACUCCGUGCCAGCAGCCGCGGUAAUACGGAGGGUGCGAGCGUUAAUCGGAAUUACUGGGCGUAAAGCGCACGCAGGCGGUUUGUUAAGCUAGAAGUGAAAGCCCCGGGCUCAACCUGGGAAGGCCUUUUAGAACUGGCAAGCUAGAGUCUUGGAGAGGGGAGUGGAAUUCCAGGUGUAGCGGUGAAAUGCGUAGAUAUCUGGAGGANANNCAUCAGUGGCGAAGGCGGCUCCCUGGCCAAAGACUGACGCUCAUGUGCGAAAGUGUGGGUAGCGAACAGGAUUAGUUACCCUGGUAGUCCACACCGUAAACGCUGUCUACUAGCUGUGUGUGAAUUUAAUUUGUGCGUAGCGAAGCAAACGCGCUAAGUAGACCGCCUGGGGAGUACGGCCGCAAGGUUAAAACUCAAAUGAAUUGACGGGGGCCCGCACAAGCGGUGGAGCAUGUGGUUUAAUUCGAUGCAACGCGAAGAACCUUACCUACUCUUGACAUCCAGAGAAUAAUCCAGAGAUGGAUUAGUGCCUUCGGGAAUUCUGAGACAGGUGCUGCAUGGCUGUCGUCAGCUCGUGUCGUGAGAUGUUGGGUUAAGUCCCGCAACGAGCGCAACCCUUGUCCUUAGUUGCCAGCAUUAAGUUGGGCACUUUAAGGAGACUGCCGGUGACAAUCCG